rnacentral:tRNA from 1 species
GAGGCCGUGGUGUAGCAGCAGCACUAGAGUUUGUGGAACUCUCAGCGCGGGUGCAAAUCCCGUCGGUCUCC